AAGGGACCCACUAGGUCGAUGGCCCAUUGCAUAAACGGCCAUGGACUGUUUUGCGGAUGAUAGACUUCGGCAGGCAGGUUAGGGAUCGGCUUGUAUCGCUGACAGCGAUCACACUUCUUGACAUAUUCAGCGGAGUCGUGACGCAUGGUAGGCCAGAAGUAUCCUAUGUUUAGAGCUUUCUGGGCAAGCGACCUGCCCCCAGAAUGGUUGCCAC
rnacentral:lncRNA from 1 species